rnacentral:rRNA from 1 species
AGCGAACGCUGGCGGCAGGCCUAACACAUGCAAGUCGAACGAACCUUUCGGGGUUAGUGGCGGACGGGUGAGUAACACGUGGGAACGUGCCUUUAGGUUCGGAAUAACUCAGGGAAACUUGUGCUAAUACCGAAUGUGCCCUUCGGGGGAAAGAUUAAUCGCCUUUAGAGCGGCCCGCGUCUGAUUAGCUAGUUGGUUGAGGUAAUGGCUCACCAAGGCGACGAUCAGUUGCUGGUCUGAGAGGAUGAUCAGCCACAUUGGGACUGAGACACGGCCCAAACUCCUACGGGAGGCAGCAGUGGGGAAUCUUGCGCAAUGGGCGAAAGCCUGACGCAGCCAUGCCGCGUGAAUGAUGAAGGUCUUAGGAUUGUAAAAUUCUUUCACCGGGGACGAUAAUGACGGUACCCGGAGAAGAAGCCCCGGCUAACUUCGUG